UACGAAGGGGGCUAGCGUUGCUCGGAAUCACUGGGCGUAAAGGGUGCGUAGGCGGGUCUUUAAGUCAGGGGUGAAAUCCUGGAGCUCAACUCCAGAACUGCCUUUGAUACUGAAGAUCUUGAGUCCGGGAGAGGUGAGUGGAACUGCGAGUGUAGAGGUGAAAUUCGUAGAUAUUCGCAAGAACACCAGUGGCGAAGGCGGCUCACUGGCCCAUAACUGACGCUGAGGCACGAAAGCGUGGGGAGCAAACAGG
rnacentral:rRNA from 1 species